rnacentral:miRNA from 1 species
AAUAUCCUUUUAACAAAUUAUGCGUAUUUAAGGAGAUAGGGCUGCGCAUGCGCAGAACGUAUCUCCCUAGCUUUGCACUUUUUGGUAAGAAGAUGUUAACAAAAGUUGUUCGUCAUGAUGUGGGCUACAACUUUGCUUAAUAGCCUUUUAACAAAUUAUGCGUAUUUAAGGAGAUAGGGCUGCGCAUGCGCAGAACGUAUCUCCUUACCUUUGCACUUUUUGGUAAGAAGAUGUU